AACGAACGCUGGCGGCAUGCCUAACACAUGCAAGUCGAACGAGACCUUCGGGUCUAGUGGCGCACGGGUGCGUAACGCGUGGGAACCUGCCCUUAGGUUCGGAAUAACUCCCCGAAAGGGGUGCUAAUACCGGAUAAUGUCUUCGGACCAAAGAUUUAUCGCCUUUGGAUGGGCCCGCGUUGGAUUAGCUAGUUGGUAGGGUAAAAGCCUACCAAGGCGACGAUCCAUAGCUGGUCUGAGAGGAUGAUCAGCCACACUGGGACUGAGACACGGCCCAGACCCCUACGGGGGGGGGGAGGGGGGAAAAUUGGACAAGGGGCGAAAGCCUGAUCCAGCAGUGCCGGGGGAGUGAGGAAGGCCUGAGGGUUGUAAAGCUCUUUUACCCGGGAUGAUAAUGACAGUACCGGGAAAAUAAGCCCCGGCUAACUCCGG
rnacentral:rRNA from 1 species